rnacentral:rRNA from 1 species
ACGGGGUGCAGCAGGCGCGAAAACUUCACACUGGGGGGAACCCCGAUGAGGGAAUUCCUAGUGCUUGGGCAUUUGUCCAAGCUUUUCCCGAGCGUAGAUAACUCGGGGAAUAAGGGCUGGGUAAGACGGGUGCCAGCCGCCGCGGUAAUACCUGCAGCCCGAGUGGUGGUCGAUUUUAUUGAGUCUAAAGCGUUCGUAGCCGGUCCGUUAAAUCCUUGGGUAAAUCGGGAAGCUCAACUUUCCGACUUCCGAGGAGACUGGCGGACUUGGGACCGGGAGAGGCCAGAGGUACUUCUGGGGUAGGGGUAAAAUCCUGUAAUCCUAGAAGGACCACCGGUGGCGAAGGCGUCUGGCUAGAACGGAUCCGACGGUGAGGGACGAAGCCCUGGGUCGCAAACGGGAUUAGAUACCCCGGUAGUCCAGGGUGUAAACGCUGCCGACUUGGUGUUGGGGGCCCUUCGCGGGAACUCAGUGCCGGAGAGAAGUUGUUAAGUCGGCCACUUGGGGAGUACGUCCGCAAGGAUGAAACCUAAAGGAAUUGGCGGGGGAGCAC